rnacentral:rRNA from 1 species
UAGGGAAUCUUCCACAAUGGACGAAAGUCUGAUGGAGCAACGCCGCGUGAGUGAAGAAGGGUUUCGGCUCGUAAAACUCUGUUGUUAAAGAAGAACAUAUCUGAGAGUAACUGUUACAGGUAUUGACGGUAUUUAACCAGAAAGCCACGGCUGACUACGUGCCAG